GGACUUCCCGGGAGCGUGCGCUCACCGUCCGGGAGCCGGGCGUGACGGCGCGCGGUGGAGACACGCCUUCCCCCGCGGCGGGGCCAGGGCAGAGAGAUGGAGGCGCAAGCUGGUCCCUGCGGCUGUGCGAGCGCCUCGCGACUGGCGCCUGAGGAGGAGCCAAGUGUGUAAAGGAAGCACGGGAGCUCUGCGGGCGCUGGGAUGCCGGGGGAGAGCGGCGGUCCCGCGAAGGUUCGGAGGAGGGGUCGCUUCCCCCCAGGCCUGGCGCCGGCUCGGAGGAGCCCUCCGUUAGAGAGGGGCAGGGGCACGGUAAACACUGUAUUCAUUCCAAAGGAGGAAAGGCUUCCAGACCUGUUAGAGGUUGGGGUAUCAAACGAGGUCUAUCAGGUUUUUCAUACCCAUCUUUUCAGUUCCAGGAGAAAAAUCAACAAAAAAAAAUCACUGCUUGGAACCGGGUGCUGUUAUAAAGAAAACCACAGGCCAAGAUGGAGUCACUUACGCUAAGGCCCCAGCUCUUUACUUUUGGGUUAACAGUGCCAAGAGGAAAAGUGCCACAGUCACCUGGAGUCACAGGAGCUCUGAGACAAAGAUCAGCAGCUCUGCUCUUGCCCUCUUCGGACCUUCCAAAACUAACGGGCAGGAGUCACAGAAAUCCCUCUGCUGCCACCUAGUGACGACCGUGUGACUACAACUACAAAGAGUCUUGUGUCUUCUACUGGGAACAAAAAGUUUUGAAGUGUGUUUACCUCUCCAAAAUGAAGCCUGUAAUUCCUCCCUAAGCCUCUCUUUUGACUAAAAUUUAAAAAAUAUAUUUUUAAAACUCCACCAAGUCUUAUGCAUGUUCAAACGAAUCUGCAUUGUAAGGGAUUAAUCCUCAUUUUAAAGAACCAAAAAGCUUUGUCAGCAAUUCAGGGAGUAAACAAGAUUCACUUAACAGCAGUCUCUAAGAACUCUGCUGUAUUUGUUUAAAAAAAUGCCUGUCAUUCUUCAGCACUUAAGUUAUCUCAUGCCUCUGGGUACAGUCAGUUGAAGACUAGGACAUGUCAACCUUCAGUCCCUCAGCGGUCUACAGUUUUUCUUCUGCAGCUUUCCCUUUAAGUAGCUUCUGAAAGGAUUAAAAAAAUGGGUGACAUUUUGAUGUCUGGAUGUUUCCAGUUAUGAGGAAGA